AGAUUGAACGCUGGCGGCGUGCCUAACACAUGCAAGUCGAGCGGUAACAGGUGUAGCAAUACAUGCUGACGAGCGGCGAACGGGUGAGUAAUGCUUUGGAAUCUUCCCAGUAGUGGGGAAUAACCAGUCGAAAGAUUGGCUAAUACCGCAUACGUCUGUAAAGGGAAAGCGGGGGCUCGUAAGACCUCGCGCUAUUGGAUGAGCCAAAGUCGGAUUAGCUAGUUGGUGGGUAACGGCCUACCAAGGCGACAAUCCGUAGCUGGUCUGAGAGGACGACCAGCCACACCGGAACUGAGACACGGUCCGGACUCCUACGGGAGGCAGCAGUGGGGAAUAUUGGACAAUGGGGGAAACCCUGAUCCAGCGACGCCGCGUGUGUGAAGAAGGCCUGCGGGUUGUAAACUGCUUUUCUCUGGGACGAGCAAGGACGGUACCAGAGGAAGAAGCCCCGGCUAACUACGUGCCAGCAGCCGC
rnacentral:rRNA from 1 species